CUUCGGGAUUAGUGGCGGACGGGUGAGUAACACGUGGGAACGUGCCCUUUGGUUCGGAACAACUCAGGGAAACUUGAGCUAAUACCGGAUAAGCCUUUCGAGGGAAAGAUUUAUCGCCAUUGGAGCGGCCCGCGUAGGAUUAGCUAGUUGGUGGGGUAAAGGCCCACCAAGGCUACGAUCCUUAGCUGGUCUGAGAGGAUGAUCAGCCACAUUGGGACUGAGACACGGCCCAAACUCCUACGGGAGGCAGCAGUGGGGAAUCUUGCGCAAUGGGCGAAAGCCUGACGCAGCCAUGCCGCGUGAAUGAUGAAGGUCUUAGGAUUGUAAAAUUCUUUCACCGGGGACGAUAAUGACGGUACCCGGAGAAGAAGCCCCGGCUAACUUCGUGCCAGCAGCCGCGGUAAUACGAAGGGGGCUAGCGUUGCUCGGAAUUACUGGGCGUAAAGGGAGCGUAGGCGGAUAGUUUAGUCAGAGGUGAAAGCCCAGGGCUCAACCUUGGAAUUGCCUUUGAUACUGGCUAUCUUGAGUACGGAAGAGGUAUGUGGAACUCCGAGUGUAGAGGUGAAAUUCGUAGAUAUUCGGAAGAACACCAGUGGCGAAGGCGACAUACUGGUCCGUUACUGACGCUGAGGCUCGAAAGCGUGGGGAGCAAACAGGAUUAGAUACCCUGGUAGUCCACGCUGUAAACGAUGAGUGCUAGUUGUCGGCAGGCAUGCCUGUCGGUGACGCAGCUAACGCAUUAAGCACUCCGCCUGGGGAGUACGGUCGCAAGAUUAAAACUCAAAGGAAUUGACGGGGGCCCGCACAAG
rnacentral:rRNA from 1 species